AAACUCAAAGGAAUNGACGGGGGCCCGCACAAGCGGUGGAGCAUGUGGUUUAAUUCGAAGCAACGCGCAGAACCUUACCAGGAUUUGACAUGGGCAAGACGCGUCCAGAGAUGGGCGUUCCCGCAAGGGCUUGCCGCACAGGUGCUGCAUGGCUGUUGUCAGCUCGUGUCGUGAGAUGUUGGGNNNGGNNCCGCAACGAGCGCAACCCUCGCCUUCAGUUGCCAUCAGGUUUGGCUGGGCACUCUGAAGGGACUGCCGGUGACAAGCCGGAGGAAGGUGGGGAUGACGUCAAGUCCUCAUGGCCCUUAUGUCCUGGGCUACACACGUGCUACAAUGGCGGUGACAGUGGGAAGCCAGGCAGCGAUGCCGAGCCGAUCCUGAAAAGCCGUCUCAGUUCGGAUUGCACUCUGCAACUCGGGUGCAUGAAGGUGGAAUCGCUAGUAAUCGCGGAUCAGCACGCCGCGNUNNNNNNNUCCCGGGCCUUGUACACACCGCCCGUCACACCAUGGGAGUUGGUUCGACCUUAAGCCGGUGCGCCNNNNNNNNNNGGGGGCAGCCGACCAC
rnacentral:rRNA from 1 species